GGUAAAAUGGCUGAGUAAAGCAUUAGACUGUAAAUCUAAGGACGGAGUAUAAGUGCUCCUUUUACCA
rnacentral:tRNA from 1 species